rnacentral:misc_RNA from 1 species
ACAGGAGUUUGUGAUGUUGUAAGCUGUUUACUUCUUACGCGGGUCAUGGAGGAGAAAUACAUAAUCUAAAGUGGGUAUCAUGGAUCUUAAUUGAGUGAAUUUUUUUACAUUUGGAGUGCCUGCAGAGCCCAAGUGGACGCGCAAAGAGUAGAGACUGCAGAGGAGGAAAAGGAAGCAGCUAAACGGAGCAACGGGAGCAUAAACCGCUGCGUUCAUUCUAUUAGCAUGGCCGGGCCGUCGCCGUUGUGGCUGCUGCCUGCGUUCGCUACUUUUUUCAGCUUCUACGCCGGAGAUUCGCUCGAUGAGCCCGUCCCGGAUGCAGCCAGCGUCCUUGAGGAGUACGAUUAUAUUGUGGUUGGCGGUGGAUCCUCGGGCAGCGUCGUCGCCGCCAGGUUGUCAGAGGAUCCUGACGCAACAGUGCUGUUGCUGGAGGCCGGGGGGCAGGAGUCAGAAUUCUCGGAAGUGCCGGGCCUAGCAGGAUACCUCCAGCUCUCCCAGAUGGAUUGGCAAUACAAGGCCGAACCCUCAACAACGUCCUGCCUGGCGAUGGUGUCAAAUAGGUGCAACCUCCCUCGCGGCCGAGUGAUCGGGGGCAGCAGCAGCAUCAACUAUAUGCUGUACGUGCGCGGUAACCGGCGCGACUACGACCUGUGGGAAUCCCAGGGCAAUCACGGCUGGGGCUACGAUCACGUACUGCCCUUCUUCAAGUUUUCGGAGGACAACGCCAACCCGACCCUCACCGCUAACUCAGAUUUCCACGGCUCCGACGGCUACCUGAGCGUGGGCGAGUCGCCGUGGCGCUCCCCGCUGGCGGCGGCCUUCGUGGAGGCGGGGGUCGAACUCGGCUACCCCGCCAGGGACGUCAACGGCGCCAGCCAGACGGGCUUCAUGGUUCCGCAGGGCUUCCUCAGGCGCGGCUCGCGCUGCUCGAACGCGCGGGCGUUCCUGAGGCCGGCGCGGCUUCGACCGAAUCUCCACACAGCCCUCAACGCCUUCGUCACGCGGAUCCUGUUCGAUUCGGCGCGUCGGGCGUACGGCGUCGUGUUCGACCGCGGGGGCGAGGAAGGGCGCGGACAGGAGGUUCGCGCACGGAGGGAGGUGAUUCUAGCGGCCGGCGCCAUCAACACGCCGCAGCUGCUCCUGCUGUCGGGCGUGGGGCCGGCGCAGCAGCUGAGGCGCUACAACAUCUCUGUUGUGGCCGACCUCCCCGUUGGACGCAACCUGCAGGACCACAUAGCCGGCAGCGCUAUCUUCACGAUCAGGGAGCCAGUGUCCCUCCUGUACAGUCGGCUGGAGAACCUCCCUGCCCUCCUCAAGUACUCUGUGUUUGGCUCGGGCCCCCUCACCUCCCUGGGCGGCGUCGAGGGGGUCGCCUUCGUGUCCACCAGGUUCAUGAACGCCUCCCUGGACUGGCCCGACAUCGAGUUCCACUUCGUGUCCGGGACGCAUGCCUCGGACGGCGGCUCCCACCUGCGCCACGCGCUGGGCCUCCGGGACGAGUACUGGGCCCACUACUUCAGUCACCUUGUUGACCGCGACCAGUUCAGCAUCCUGGCCAAGCUGAUGCGGCCUCGGAGCCGUGGCGUCGUGGAACUGCGCUCGGCUGACCCUUAUGAGUACCCGAAGGUCCCCUCAAAUGCUGUUUAUGAAAUGGCUUAUUUUUGUCAUAAUGUUUUUUUGCUCCUAUUUUUCUUGAUCGUCAGUUUGCAUGAUGAUAUUGGUUCCAUUUUCUCGUGGGCAGCUAUAAAUCUGCCCACAUCUUUGCGCUUUCUCUCUUUCUCAUAUAGAUUAUUACCAACUACCUGCACGACCGAGCUGACCUGCUGGUGAUAAAGGAAGGCCUGAAGAUUGCUCGCCAGGUUGGGAACACCCGGGUCUUCCGUUCGGUGCCAGGCUGUUUGAUCUCCCGCUUCUUGGAUGCGAGAGUUUUGAGAUGACGUCAGAAGCCUACUGGGAGUGUUACAUCAGACACCUGACAUUCACCAUCUACCACUAUUGCGGCACUGCCAAGAUGGGGCCG